rnacentral:rRNA from 1 species
UACGGAGGGUGCAAGCGUUAUCCGGAUUCACUGGGUUUAAAGGGUGCGUAGGUGGGCAGGUAAGUCAGUGGUGAAAUCUCCGAGCUUAACUCGGAACUGCCGUUGAUACUAUUUGUCUUGAAUAUUGUGGAGGUAAGCGGAAUAUGUCAUGUAGCGGUGAAUGCUUAGAUAUGACAUAGAACACCAAUUGCGAAGGCAGCUUACUACACAACGAUUGACGCUGAGGCACGAAAGCGUGGGGAUCAAACAGG